rnacentral:rRNA from 1 species
UACCUGCAGCUCGAGUGGUAACCGCUAUUAUUGGGCCUAAAGCGUCCGUAGCCGGUUUGGUAAAUAUCUGGGUAAAUCGUGAGGCUUAACUUCACGAAUUUCGGAUAGACUGCCAGACUUGGGAUCGGGGGAGGUCAGAGGUACUCCAGGGGUAGCGGUGAAAUGUUGUAAUCCUUGGAGGACCACCGGUAGCGAAGGCGUCUGACUAGAACGAGUCCGACGGUGAGGGACGAAGCCCUGGGGCGCAAACCGGAUUAGAUACCCGGGUAGUCCAGGGUGUAAACGAUGUGGGCUUUGUAUUGGAGGUCCCACGUGGGCGUCCAGUGCAGAAGAGCAGUUGUUAAGCCCACCGCCUGGGAAGUACGGUCGCAAGGCUGAAACUUAAAGGAAUUGGCGGGGGAGCACAGCAACGGGAGGAGCGUGCGGUUU